rnacentral:tRNA from 1 species
GAAAGGAUGGUUUUGUGUUUAAGGCACUUGACUAUAACUCAGGAUCCCUGGGUUUCAAAUCCCAGCUCUGCCA